rnacentral:tRNA from 1 species
AUUUAAAUAGCUUAUUUAGAGCAUAAUAUUGAAGAUAUUAAGGUAAUUUCAUGUUUUUAAAUA